AUUGAACGCUGGCGGCAGGCCUAACACAUGCAAGUCGAGCGGAGCGGCGGACGGGUGAGUAAUGCCUAGGAAUCUGCCUGGUAGUGGGGGAUAACGUCCGGAAACGGGCGCUAAUACCGCAUACUAUCAGAUGAGCCUAUGUCGGAUUAGCUAGUUGGUGGGGUAAAGGCCUACCAAGGCGACGAUCCGUAACUGGUCUGAGAGGAUGAUCAGUCACACGGGAGCUGAGAAACGGGCCAACCUCCUACGGGAGUGAGCAGUGGGGAAUAUGGGGCAAUGGGCGAAAGUCUGAUACAGUCAUGCCGCGGGUGUGAAGAAGGUUUUCGGAUUGUAAAGCACUUUAAGUUGGGAGGCGUUACUAACAGAAUAAGCACCGGCUAACUUCGUGCCAGCAGCCGCGGUAAUAC
rnacentral:rRNA from 1 species